AACGAACGCUGGCGGCAUGCCUAACACAUGCAAGUCGAACGAGACCUUCGGGUCUUGUGUCGCACGGGUGCGUACCGCGUGGGAACUUGCCCUUAGGUACGGAAUAACUCUCCGAAUGGGGUGCUAUUACCGGAUAAUGUCUUCGGACCAAAGAUCUAUCGCAUUUGGUUGGGCCGGCGUUGGAUUAGCUAUUUGGUAGGGUAAAAGCCUGCUAAGGCGCUGAUUCAUAGCUGGUUGGCGAGGAUGAUCAGCCACGCUGGGACGGAGAGACGGCACAGAAUCCUACGGGAUGGGGGAGUGGAUAGUAUAGAACAAGAGCGGAAGGCCUGAACGAGCAGUGCCGGGUAAGGGAUGAAGGCCGUAGGGAUGUAAAGCUCUUUUACCCGGGAAGGUACUGACAGUACCGGGAGAAUAAGCGCCGGCUAACUCCGUG
rnacentral:rRNA from 1 species